rnacentral:rRNA from 1 species
CUACGGGUUGCAGCAGUGAGGAAUAUUGCACAAUGGGGGAAACCCUGAUGCAGCAACGCCGCGUGGAGGAUGACGCAUUUCGGUGUGUAAACUCCUUUUAUGAGUCAAGAAAAUGACGGUAGCAUAUGAAUAAGCACCGGCUAACUCCGUGCCAGCAGCCGCGGUAAUACGGAGGGUGCAAGCGUUACUCGGAAUCACUGGGCGUAAAGGACGCGUAGGCGGGUUGGAAAGUCAGGUGUGAAAUCCUACAGCUUAACUGUAGAACUGCACUUGAAACUUCUAAUCUAGAGUAUGGGAGGGGGAGAUGGAAUUAGUGGUGUAGGGGUAAAAUCCGUAGAUAUCACUAGGAAUACCUAAAGCGAAGGCGAUCUCCUGGAACAUUACUGACGCUAAGGCGUGAAAGCGUGGGGAGCAAACAGGAUUAGAUACCCCCGUAGUC